AUGGACAAACUUCUAAAGCACACAGGGUUUGGUUGGGAUGACGAUGAUAAAAUGAUCAAAGCUUCAGAAGAAAGUUGGGCGGAUCUCAUAUCGAAGGACAAGAAUAUUCAAGAAUACCGAGACAAAGUGUGGCCUAGUUGGAUAGACCUUCAGGACAUUUGUGCUAGCUCUACCGCAUCAGGAGUUGGUGCUAUAUCUAGCAAAGGGAAAGGUGGAACCAGCAAAGAACAAAUUGAAAUUGAUCUGAAUGAGAUAGUAGAAGUUGUAUCUGAUGGAACAAAUGAUUCCCCUGUUGCUUGUCCUAAGAAGCCUAACACCACUAAGGUCGAGAAAAAGAAGAAGGGCAAUGCAAGUGGGUCGCAAAGCACUUCAAAAGGGCAAAAGCGAACAGCUGAUGAUGCUAUUAAUGCAAUUGAUCGCCUGGCAGAUGCAUCACUGAUUAUUGCUGAAUCAAAGAAAAAUGCAGCACAGCAAACAGAAGCUUACUCAGUGAAAGCAUGUAUGCAGAUAUUAAAUAGCAUGCCUGAUGUUGAACCAAACAAAAAAUUGAAAGCUGCACAAGCAUUUGAACAUGUUGAUAAAAGGGCUAUUUUCAUUGAGAUGGAUGAAGAGACUCGGUCUCUCUGGGUUGAAAAUGCGUAG
rnacentral:rRNA from 1 species